CACUAGGGGAGGGGCAGUGGUGUAGAAGCGGAGCAAUCCGUAGAAAUGGUUGUGUUGAGGUGAUGAGGACAGGACUCACAAACAUGCCAUGUGCGUUGAGCGGAUACACAGGCCGGAUGAACAGCAGAGGGAGAAAGAAUUGAUUAAAGGAAACAAGAAGAGGGAAGGAGAUGAGAAAAGAAAAAGGGAAAAAAAAGAGAGUGGAAAAAGUAAAAAAAGGAAAUUGAAAGAAAGGGGGAAAAUAAUACAAAAUAAAUGAAUCCCUCUGGUGAAAUCCUUGAAAGAAA